UGUGGUUGGCUCCUCUUAAACGAAUCAGCUUGCCAGUGUUUGGUGGCAUCACGGGUGUGAUAACUAUUUACGCUUGUGACUGUCCGCUGGGUAACCUUCAGAGAUGGAGGUUCGCUGGGGCUUACAAAUGUCUCUCCUCAGUGAAGACAGCUUUUUGAACGUUCGAUCUCAAAUCAGGUAGGACUACCCGCUGAACUUAA
rnacentral:misc_RNA from 1 species